CAAUGACAGCAGCUUCAACCCAUACUGAGAGGCUAUCAUCGUUUCCUCCUGCAUAUCUGAGCAAGCUUGUUUUUUCCCCUCGCUGAGGCGAGAUGAUUUUGUUUGUAUGGUGAGCAGAUCUAUCGCCGAUGAUUGCCGAUCUAAUGAGAUGAUCAAGCAACAGCCGCUCACAUGAUGAAAUCAUGAUGAGGUCGGAUUUUGGAGUGAGUAAAAAUUUCUUCCCCACAUCGAGCCGCCAUUGUGUUGUGGUUUGAGAAGAACAUUGGAUCACCUACGAAUAGUUUUCAUUUGUAAAACGUGCAAUAAUUGACCGUGGGCUACAUUUCUCAAUUUUUUUGUUGAAAGAGCAUAUCAAAUAUCCCAAAUCAGUUAAAAUAUAGUGAAAUGUUGUAUCGGACACACGAUGCUUACAAGAAAACAUAAAAUCAAACAUGGUAAGAUGAUGAACAUCUUCCUUUACUAAUAGUUGAUUUACAGCCUCUAGGCAUCAACAAAAAUUGAAGCAGCGUUUGACGAUAAAGAAGAUACCCAGUUGUGCGAUGACCAUUAACCGUUAACGUUGAAAAUCAA